GAGGUUGAGGAGCUUGAGGAACUUGAGGAGCUCCAGGAGGUUGAGGAGCUUGAGGAACUUGAGGAGCUCCAGGAGCUUGAGAACAGAGUGAAAGCUUUUUAACUGCAGAACUUUAAAUUCACAAAAACAUCUUAUGUCUCCUUUAAAUUUAAAACGUGAUUUCAGACCUUGUUCUUCUAAAAGGUGAAAACGUUUCCGUGUUAAAUUUAGAUUUGAUGCUUUUCUGUCAUUUCCUUUGUUUCUGCUUCUUAAAACCAGAAUCAGCUCAUUUUCUUGUUUGAGGAAACAAACAGUUCCAGCUCCAGUUUGGUUUGUUCCCAGCUGCACUCGAACACAACACGUCGACGCCUGAGUCCACGUGCGAUGCACCCGCUCACCCCCCGUUCCCCUUUAACCAGUAUAGAAAAUAUGCCAAAAACUCUUUGUUUUUGUACUGGGACGGCUCCUCACGUGUCCGCUGUGCGUCCGUCCUCCUGUCUCCGCCCGGUGGUGGUUUUUGGCGUUGAAUCUUUUUUUACUGGUGUCUGGGAGCGUUUCCACGGCGACGAGCCUUUGAAGACGAACCGUCCUUUGAUCCAGGUUCUCGUAGAAACCAGUCACUCACACAUGGGACCACUCUGUCAAACUGCAACAACACUUUGACCGUCGGUGGACGAGCGGGACGCAGAGGACGGCGUCCUGGGGACACCACAGAGACCCGGGACGCCGCCCCCCCCCCCCCCAUCGACCUCACUUGUCUUCCUGCUGGUCCAGAGAGGUUCCGUCUAAAUGUUGAGACGUAGAUUUAGUCCAUUUUUUAUUUCCAGCCUCUGACACCUGCUGAUGCACAAACAUGAACAAACGGUGGAAAUAAUUCAGAGAAAAAUGCCUUUAUCCAGAAAAGAGAAAAGACUUAGAGAUGAUUUUAUUUGAAUUGCAUCAUAUCCUGAUCGUGUGUUUGUUCUGUGACGUAUCGAAGAUACUGAUCCGUGUUGUUGGAGAAACUUUGUCUGCAUAGAAAUUAAAUCCUGGUUCGACAAGUCCGACUCAAAGUUAAACUAAUAAAUAUAUCAUGAUAAUGUUCCUGAAGCAGAUGUGAAGGUCGAUCAGUGAAGCCACUUCCUCUCGAUCCGAAACUUCAUGCAUCUGAAACUUUAUAAAAAGUCAAACCAAGCUUUUUAAAACUUUGUCUGACAGAAACUGAUUCAUUCAAACUUUCUAAAUUUAAACCGAUUCUUCCCGUAAACAGACUCUGACCUGAAAUCUGUUUAAUCUUCUAAUUUAAAGGUUCAGACCUCGAACUCUCGACCAUGACAAAUAAAAUAGAAACGUUUAAAGUCCAAAUACGGAACCUGGAGUUCGUUAAUUAUCAAGAUGAAUCUGAAGACGUCAGACAUCUUGUUUUGUUCGGAUCAGAAUAAACAGUUAUAAUAAAGAAACAUGUAAAAACUGUGGGAAACAAAAGUUAUUUAUCAGCUGAUUGUUUCUGGUUCAUUUGCCUUUUCAAACGAGUCAUGAUCAGUGAGCAGCUGCUUCCGGAUCAGUUUGAGUUUCACCUGAGAGCCGAACGCUCCCGGUGACGUGAACAAACCAUAUCAGCGCUCUGUCACAUUGACCCCGCCCCCUUCAGACCCCGCCCCCUGGGAAUCAACCGUUACAAAAGGCCCCUCCCAUCACCCGCCCCCGACCUCGUCAUCCAUUUCUAGAAAUCUUCUCCGGGAGAAACUGUGCAGUGCUUAAACAGAUCUAUUUUAAUACACAACUCAACAUUUGAACAAAUAAGAAAAAAGACGUAGAACAUUUUUAUAUUCUUUUAUCAAGGAGCAAAAAAAAGAACAGAACAUUUCUAUGGUUUGCUGGUUCUGCAUUCUGACUCUUUGUAUGAUUUACGCCACAAGGAGGCGCCGACGAGACGAGGGCGUUUAGAUGGAAAUGAAAAUGUCUGUUGAAGUAGAAGUUUCUUUGUCAUUGCUAAGGGGACUGUCCAGUGGAUAGUGUGUAUAGGAAAGUGUUUGUCUUAAAUAUGCCAAUGUAGUUUUUUCUUCUUUAUGAUGCAUUAACAACUUGAUGGAUGGACGUUGGUAAAUGGUUAAAGAGUAGUCUCACUUUUUUGUACCAAGUUCUUACAAAAAAUUGAAUCAUUAAUAAACAAAUUCAAGAACAAA